GACGAACGCUGGCGGCGUGCCUAAUACAUGCAAGUAGAACGCACAGUUUAUACCGUAGCUUGCUACACCAUAAACUGUGAGUUGCGAACGGGUGAGUAACGCGUAGGUAACCUGCCUGGUAGCGGGGGAUAACUAUUGGAAACGAUAGCUAAUACCGCAUAAUAUUGAUUAUUGCAUGAUAAUUGAUUGAAAGAUGCUAUUGCAUCACUACCAGAUGGACCUGCGUUGUAUUAGCUAGUAGGUGAGGUAACGGCUCACCUAGGCGACGAUACAUAGCCGACCUGAGAGGGUGAUCGGCCACACUGGGACUGAGACACGUCCCAGACUCCUACGGGAGGCAGCAGUAGGGAAUCUUCGGCAAUGGACGAAAGUCUGACCGAGCAACGCCGCGUGAGUGAAGAAGGUUUUCGGAUCGUAAAGCUCUGUUGUAAGAGAAGAACGGGUGUGAGAGUGGAAAGUUCACACUGUGACGGUAUCUUACCAGAAAGAGACGGCUAACUACGUG
rnacentral:rRNA from 1 species